CUGCUUUCCGCCUUUCUACAUCAUGGCGGUUGCGGGAGCUUAAACUAAAACCAAGACUAGCUUUUUGUUCCACUCGGUGACUUUUUUUUAUUUCACCCUCCCUUCCUCGAUAAAGAGAAGAGGAAAAAACGCGACUUUCAAAAUGAAUAUGAUGCAGACGACGAGGCGCGUUAUGAGCUGCCUGAUGUUUCCCCAAAAUGGAAUCGUAGACGGCUCGGUUCACUGCGGCUCUCCCCCGGUCCCAGUCGCCUCCGUCUCGUCGCCGCAGCUCCAGAGGGCCGCGGCGACCUUGGACUCCGUCAACGGCAAUAGCGGAACCGCCAAGCAGCGACCCGGGGCGCUGGAAAUUCCCUCCAAGGGUGGAUUCGCCACCAUUAACCAUUGCAACAGCAACGACGACGACGUGGAGGUCGGCGAUGGCUCGCCGCCGGGUACGCCCGACCCCCAGGACGAGCACGCUGGCGGCGACGACGUCUUGGACGUCGAGACCAGGAGCCUCAUUAGCCACUUCCUAACUGACUUUACCGGUCUGUCGACGGCUCGCUGGAACGAAAGCAAGGCACAUUCGACCAUGAAAAGAGUCGUGGCGAGUUUGUUGGAAAAGUAUAGAUAUAAGUACAAUGGUAUUAUCAACAAAUUGUCCCUGGACGACCGAGGGGACAACGUGGGCUUCAUCAGCGAAGUGGCCAAGAGCCUGUUCUCAGACGGGACCACCAACUGGGGCCGUGUGGCCAGCCUGGUGGCCUUCGGGGCUGUAGUGUCCCAGUACCUGAAGGAAAAGGGCCGAGCCCACUGUGUGGAGCCAGUGGCCCAGGAGAUCUCUUCGUAUCUGCUGUUGCACCAGCGUAACUGGCUGGUGAAAAACAACUCUUGGGAUGGCUUUGUAGAAUUCUUUCGGGAAGUGGACCCUGAGUCUACAAUGAGGAACACGCUAAUGGCCUUUGCUGGAGUGGCUGGCAUCGGUGCCACACUGGCCCUGUUGAUCAGAUGGAGAGUAAGAAAGAUCAUCUCCUGAAACUGACGCAGCUUGCGAGAUGUCGACAACCUCAUGAGAGUUCAACAUUUGAUGUUACCGGCUGAACCUGUGAAACUGCAGUGUAUCGAGUGACGACAUUCCACAGCUCCUAUGAUGUGUCUUGGAAAUGCUCGUAUAACAAUGAUUAUGUCCACCCCCACACAUUAAAUCAAAAUUUGUAUGUGCCCACAUCUUGGCCAGCAUCCCCUUAACGUUAAUGGCAGUGAAUGAGUGUUUAAGGAGCAUUAGAUACACAUUCCAGUGAAAUUACUACUAGAGACAUAUAAAUUCUGGGUUCUGUGUGAAAGGUCCAGUCUGAUAAAUCCUGGAUCAACAGGUCAGUUUACCAAUUGUUGGGAAACCGUGUGAAAGGGGCUACCAUUUGUACAAAGGUAGCUUUAAAUGUCUGAAUUGUUUUAUACUUCCUGGUUUAUUCCUGUAAAUUCCCACGGAAAGUUCUCAACUCAAAAAAUUUUUGCACCCUAGCCCUGACAUAGACAUCUUGCCAAAGGUCUAUUGUUUACUAAUAAGUUUAUUCUUGUGCACUGCAUCAUUCUGUUUGUAAUUCUCAUAUACGCAGAUAAGGUAUAAAUGAAUUAAAAUAUC